rnacentral:rRNA from 1 species
GAUGAACGCUGGCGGCGUGCCUAAUACAUGCAAGUCGAGCGAAUGGAUUAAGAGCUUGCUCUUAUGAAGUUAGCGGCGGACGGGUGAGUAACACGUGGGUAACCCACCCAUAAGACUGGGAUAACUCCGGGAAACCGGGGCUAAUACCGGAUAACAUUUUGAACCGCAUGGUUCGAAAUUGAAAGGCGGCUUCGGCUGUCACUUAUGGAUGGACCCGCGUCGCAUUAGCUAGUUGGUGAGGUAACGGCUCACCAAGGCAACGAUGCGUAGCCGACCUGAGGGGGUGAUCGGACACACUGGGACUGAGACACGGCCCAGACUCCUACGGGAGGCAGCAGUAGGGAAUCUUCCGCAAUGGACGAAAGUCUGACGGAGCAACGCCGCGUGAGUGAUGAAGGCUUUCGGGUCGUAAAACUCUGUUGUUAGGGAAGAACAAGUGCUAGUUGAAUAAGCUGGCACCUUGACGGUACCUAACCAGAAAGCCACGGCUAACUACGUGCCAGCCGCCGCAGUAA